GAUGAACGCUGGCGGCGUGCCUAAUACAUGCAAGUCGAGCGAACGGACGAGAAGCUUGCUUUUCUGAUGUUAGCGGCGGACGGGUGAGUAACACGUGGAUAACCUACCUAUAAGACUGGGAUAACUUCGGGAAACCGGAGCUAAUACCGGAUAAUAUUUUGAACCGCAUGGUUCAAAAGUGAAAGACGGUCUUGCUGUCACUUAUAGAUGGAUCCGCGCUGCAUUAGCUAGUUGGUAAGGUAACGGCUUACCAAGGCAACGAUGCAUAGCCGACCUGAGAGGGUGAUCGGCCACACUGGAACUGGGACACGGUCCAGACUCCUACGGGAGGCAGCAGUAGGGAAUCUUCCGCAAUGGGCGAAAGCCUGACGGAGCAACGCCGCGUGAGUGAUGAAGGUCUUCGGAUCGUAAAACUCUGUUAUUAGGGAAGAACAUAUGUGUAAGUAACUGUGCACAUCUUGACGGUACCUAAUCAGAAAGCCACGGCUAACUACGUG
rnacentral:rRNA from 1 species